GAUACUGGUGUUCUUCACCAGAGAUGGUUUUCAAAGUUCUCUCUAUCCACUUGAAUUUCCCAAAGCAUUGUUGGUAUAAACGCGAGCAUAGAUGGGAUUACAAGCAAUCAGUGCUGUAUCAAUAAAGACCCCUUUUGUAAGGGAAGUUUUGAAGGAGCAUUUAUCUUCCCUACAAUAUCGGCAUUAGCAUUUUUAAUAAGAGAAUAUCGGGAG